rnacentral:rRNA from 1 species
GACGAACGCUGGCGGCGUGCUUAACACAUGCAAGUCGAACGGUGAAGCGCCUUCCUUUUUGGUGGGUGUGGAGGAGUGGCGAACGGGUGAGUAACACGUAAGUAACCUGCCCCCUUCUUCUGGAUAACCGCAUGAAAGUGUGGCUAAUACGGGAUAUUCUGGUUCUGUCGCAUGAUGGGUCUGGGAAAGAUGUUGUUUCGGUGGGGGAUGGGCUCGCGGCCUAUCAGCUUGUUGGUGGGGUGAUGGCCUACCAAGGCGGUGACGGGUAGCCGGCCUGAGAGGGUGGACGGUCACACUGGGACAGAGACACGGCCCAGACUCCUACGGGAGGCAGCAGUGGGGAAUAUUGCACAAUGGGCGCAAGCCUGAUGCAGCGACGCCGCGGGAGGGAUGGAGGCCUUCGGGGUGUGAACCUCUUUCGCCAGUGAAGCAGGCCUGCCUCGUUUGUGGGUGGGUUGACGGUAGCUGGAUAAGAAGCGCCGGCUAACUACGUG